CCUACGGGUGGCAGCAGUGAGGAAUAUUGGGCAAUGGACGAGAGUCUGAACCAGCCAAGUCGCGUGAAGGAUGAAUGCCCUAUGGGUUGUAAACUUCUUUUAUAUGGGAAUAAAUUGUUCCACGUGUGGGAUUUUGUAUGUACCAUAUGAAUAAGGAUCGGCUAACACCGUGCCAGCAGCCGCGGUAAUACGGAGGAUCCGAGCGUUAUCCGGAUUUAUUGGGUGGAAAGGGAGCGUAGGUGGAGUGUUAAGUCAGUUGUGAAAGUUUGCGGCUUAACCGUAAAAUUGCAGUGGAAACUGGCAGUCGUGAGUACAGGAGAGGUGGGCGGAAUUUGUGGUGGAGCGGUGAAAUGCUUAGAUAUCACGAAGAACUCCGAUUGCGAAGGCAGCUCACUGGACUGCAACUGACACUGAGGCUCGAAAGUGUGGGUAGCAAACAGGAUUAGAUACCCGAGUAGUC
rnacentral:rRNA from 1 species